UGCUGCUAAUGUGGCUCUAGCAGCUCUGACAUUUCUGUCUGUUGAGUUUUAAUAAGAAUCACAGAAACUGUUUUGGUCGGUCCAGUUUAUCGGAGGAGCUUCUCAGAUCUCCGCUCAUUAACUCUGAUUGACUAAGUGGACAAAGCAUCGAUACGGUUUGAUGCAUAAUAACAAUAAUACUAAAAAUAAUAAUAGAAUAUAAAAUAAGCAUGAUGCGUUACAGACAGGAGCGAAAGCUCCUCACCAGGCUGAACCUGCAUGAUCAAGUUAGCGCUGGUUCGUUAACCAACACACCGGCCAACCAGGAACAUAAACUUGAUCAGUGCAGGCAGAGCUGGGCGCUGGGCGGCGUGUUGAGAUGGUAAAGCCGCACAAAAUUCUUUGUUCACAAAUGUAAAUCAUUCUCACUACUCGCUCAACGCACCUCUGGAAGUGACUACAAGUUAUUCCUGAAGUUCACGUAGAGCUGCACAACCAGAGCCAACUAGAGUGCUGUUUAAAGUCCUGCCUUGAUCAAAAACUCUGGAAAGAAUCAUAAUUCCUCACAGUGGUUGAUGUAAAUAUCCAUACAGGUCAGCCUGAGUCCAGUUUGAGUGAAAGGAGGUGAUCUGCUCUGAGGUAAACUUCAGAGACCAAGCAGCGCGCGAGGCAACGGGCAGCGGCGUGAUUGGUCCGCUCUCCCGGCUUUAAAUGCAUAAAGUAUAGACGUAUCUAUUAUAAACGUCUUUUAGGAUAAAUCUGCUCCGCCAGUCGAACGCUCAAAGCAACAGAGACACUUUCAAUCCAGCUUAAAAAAAAAAAAAAAAAAACAUUUUUUUAUUAUUUUCUUAAAAAUA